rnacentral:rRNA from 1 species
UACAGAGGGUGCUAGCGUUGUUCGGAAUCAUUGGGCGUAAAGGGCGUGUAGGCGGUUUGUUGCGUCGGCUGUGAAAUCCCGAGGCUCAACCUCGGGUCUGCAGUCGAUACGAGCAAACUAGAGUGUUGCAGGGGAGACUGGAAUUCCUGGUGUAGCGGUGAAAUGCGCAGAUAUCAGGAGGAACACCGGUGGCGAAGGCGGGUCUCUGGGCAACAACUGACGCUGAGGAGCGAAAGCGUGGGGAGCAAACAGG